rnacentral:rRNA from 1 species
UGGGGAAUAUUGCACAAUGGGCGCAAGCCUGAUGCAGCCAUGCCGCGUGUGUGAAGAAGGCCUUCGGGUUGUAAAGCACUUUCAGCGAGGAGGAAGGCAUAAAGGUUAAUAACCUUUGUGAUUGACGUUACUCGCAGAAGAAGCACCGGCUAACUCCGUGCCAGCAGCCGCGGUAAUACGGAGGGUGCAAGCGUUAAUCGGAAUUACUGGGCGUAAAGCGCACGCAGGCGGUUUGUUAAGUCAGAUGUGAAAUCCCCGCGCUUAACGUGGGAACUGCAUUUGAAACUGGCAAGCUAGAGUCUUGUAGAGGGGGGUAGAAUUCCAGGUGUAGCGGUGAAAUGCGUAGAGAUCUGGAGGAAUACCGGUGGCGAAGGCGGCCCCCUGGACAAAGACUGACGCUCAGGUGCGAAAGCGUGGGGAGCAAACA